AAAGUCGUAACAAGGUUUCCGUAGGUGAACCUGCGGAAGGAUCAUUAACAAAUCAUCAUCUAUCCACAAACCCUGUGUAACCGUUGGUGUCCUUGGUGGCGUGGCGUGGCGUGGCGUGCGGUGUCUCUCGGUUACGAGAGACGCUACCGUUGCCGUCGCUAGUUAGCUACUAGUGGUUGUAGUGACGUGACCCACACCACACCGCCAAGGGUCGCACACAUCAUCAUCAAUGUACAUACGAUUGACACAGCCUAGCAGAUAACAGCGUUAUAAUUUAAAACAAACAACUUUUAACAAUGGAUCUCUUGGCUCUU
rnacentral:misc_RNA from 1 species